CCCGGGACGUGUGCCCCAGGAGGGCAAAAGAGGAUGGAUGGAAAUCAGAGCCUUCCUGGACCCUUGCAGGGGCUACAUUCAUUUCACAGAACUUUUCCAUCUGACCAUUGUGCAGAAGUCGAGAUAAAAACUCAUUUUUCUUGGAAGGGUCUGAUAGCCAAUGUGAUACAUGGCAAUUGCUCAGUUAUGUAAAUACACAGAGAAAAUUUUAGAAUUCUUACCCUUGGAAUGAUGAACUAUAAACCAAAAAGGCUCAGGGGGAAAAAAAAAUGUAAAUACGUCCUGGGACUAUUUUUAACUGUCAUUAUUUACCUUUUUGGGGCAGGGAUG
rnacentral:lncRNA from 1 species